AGGAUGAACGCUGGCGGCGUGCUUAACACAUGCAAGUCGAACGAUGAAGCCGGAGCUUGCUCUGGUGGAUUAGUGGCGAACGGGUGAGUAACACGUGAGUAACCUGCCCUUGACUCUGGGAUAAGCGUUGGAAACGACGUCUAAUACCGGAUACGACGCGCGAAGGCAUCUUCUGCGCGUGGAAAGAAUUUCGGUCAAGGAUGGACUCGCGGCCUAUCAGCUAGUUGGUGAGGUAAUGGCCCACCAAGGCGACGACGGGUAGCCGGCCUGAGAGGGUGACCGGCCACACUGGGACUGAGACACGGCCCAGACUCCGUACGGGAGGCAGCAGUGGGGGAAUA
rnacentral:rRNA from 1 species